CCUGCAGUCCAGCAGCACUCCAAUGUCUUGAUCUGCAACUUAUCUCCAAGGAAAUCCCAUGGGACACAUCUCAUGACAUGUGGUCAGUGGCUUGGGGAUGGUCACCCAUCAUCAAAGAAAGAAAAUUGUUUAAUUAUUGAAUGUUGGAUACAUCACCCAGCAUCAGCCUUUACAAAGUCUGUGAUUUAUGACAGUUGUACAGUAAAACAGCCUUUCAUGGCAGGACACUUCAGUCAUUCCCAUAAGCUCAGAUCCUUCCAAGCAACUUGGAGGAAGCAAGGCUCCCAAAAAGGUCCCUGCUCAUCUCUUCAAGCAGACACUGCAGAGAGAAAGCAGCAGCUCAUCAAGCCAUAAUGUCAAGAAAGGAAAUGAACUGAACUAAUUCUCUUUUCCUUUUGCUAGCCGCAGCAUUUAAUUUUUGACUUUUAGAGCCGAAACAUAGCAACAUGGCACAGAACAGAAGGCUUCCUAAAUCUUAGGGAAUAUCUAUUCUUGUAUUUAAAGCCUAAAGGAAAUAGAAUGCCUAUUCUGAAUAUCUUCAAAGUAAAUCAAUAACUAAGCACGAUUCCUAUCCUAGUGUUGUUGGAAUGAGAAGCUAGAUUCACAAAAUGUUACACUAUGGAAAUUUAGGGUAAGAGUGCAUUAAAUCUGAGUCUUGCCCAGUACACUGUCACUUUUCUGUCAGAUUCCCAUCCCAACAUCUCUUUUAUAAUGUUAAUUUCAAAUAUAGCUCCCCUGUAUCUUUUGGCUAGGAAAUGAAUAUAUGCAAGACCCCAGACCUCAUGAUUCCAGCAGCAAGAGGGAGCAGCACAUUUGAGAACAUAUUUAUCAUUUCAAGGAAGCCAUUCCAGGUUGCUUUUUCAGAGAGUGAUUGAAAGCAGUUUAGGAAAUGAAGAACACUAAAAUAAGAGGAAGAUGGAGACACAGAAACUGGUAUGGUCUCAAAUUUGUUCAAGAAGAUCAGGAUACUUGUGUAUAUUACAGUAAUUUCCACCAAAGUGUAAUUUCAAAUCAAAAUUAUUGGUUUUGUUCAAGUAAUGCAGCAAAAAGUUAUCAAGUGGCACAUUUCAGGGUUAAUAAAGCACUGGCUGUUGCUCAUGCCCACUGUUGGAUAUAAGAAUACAGAAAUAACUCAUCAA